CUAAACUGAGGAAAGUCGGCCGAAACUGAUCGACUCGAGGAACGUAGAGGGAAGCGGAACUCUCGGAGUAGCGGUGAAAUGCGUAGAGACCGAGAGGUACCCCGAUGGUGAAGACAGCUUCCUGGGCGUUUCCUGACGCUGAAGCACUAAGGCCAGGGGAGCGAAGGGGAUUAGAUACCCCCGUAGUCCUGGCUUCAAACGAUGUAGGCUUGGUGUCGGCCCCCGACAGAGGGUCGUUGCCGGAGCUAACGUGUUAAGCCCACCGCCUGGGGAUUACGUCCGCAAGGAUGAAGCUCAAGGGAAUUGACGGGGGCCCACACAACCGGUGGAGCACGUGGUUUAAUUCGAUGAUAAGCGAAGAACCUUACCAGGGCUUGACCUAGCGGUGGUAGGAUCCUGAAAGGGAAACGACCUCAAGCUUUGCUUGAGGAGCC
rnacentral:rRNA from 1 species